UACAGGGGGUGCAAACGUUGCUCGGAAUCAUUGGGCGUAAAGCGCACGUAGGCGGUCUGUUAUGUCGGAUGUGAAAGCCCUUGGCUCAACUGAGGAAGUGCAUCCGAAACUGGCAGGCUAGAGUACUAAAGAGGAUCGCGGAAUUCCCGGUGUAGAGGUGAAAUUCGUAGAUAUCGGGAGGAACACCGGUGGCGAAGGCGGCGAUCUGGGUAGAUACUGACGCUGAGGUGCGAAAGCGUGGGGAGCAACAGG
rnacentral:rRNA from 1 species